AUACUUACCUGGUGCUGGGGUAACCAUGGUCAACAUGGUGGUGCCCCCAGGAAGAGGCACGGGCAUUGCACUGCGUUCGUGCUCACCCCUGCCACUACCCCAAACUGGGGCAGAUAGGGCAUGCAAUUUUUCGUAGAUGUGUCUUCGUCUUCCCACUAG